UAUUUUUUCUUCGCGUUACCAAAAAAACAAUGGGCCUCAUUCACCAACUGUUCUUACGAAGAAAUGUGUUCUAAAAUCCCACUUACGCACUUUUUAGGAAGAUUCUGACAUUCACUAAUGUUUUCUUAUCUUGGAUUUGUUCUUAGCUAAGAACAAAAUCUACGAACACUCAAAAGCACUCUUAAGCACAUUUGAGUGAUGACAGUUUGCUCCAAAUAAUUGGUUACUGCAUCUUAUUUAAUUCUACAGUCAUUUACAAUGAUAGUAUUGUACUGUAAUGUAUUUCUGAUCAUUUGUUGAAAAAAAAUCAUAUUAUGCAAA